CUUUCCCCACUUGUUAUCCUUUCUUAUAGGCUAUGAUGUAGUGUGAUUGGUAUGCAAAUGUUACAGAGCUCUGAACUACCCUUUUUGCAGUAACUUAAAUCAUGACGUGUCCCUUUAAUUAUGUCAUAUCCUGUAUCGUGAUAUUAAAUAUUGUUGUGAUGAAUUGGAAGGUAAAUUUAGGUACCAAAUACUCUUAUCAGUCAAUAUUGUUUAAGGCCCAAAUUUUUUAUUGAACUUUUGGUCAGUUUCAAAUAUUUGUUCACGAUAUUCAGAGGUUAGUAUCAUGCAUCUGCUAUCUUAUUUUGCCUUUGUAAUCGUAAUAGAUGUCUCUAGCCUAAAAAGCACGGACACGGGGACGGAAAGUCGGGGAUACGCAUACGGGGAUACGGGAUACGGCAUUUUCCAAAAACAGCCAUUCGGGGAUACGACGAUUGGCUACCGGCUGUGCCACUCCCAGAUGCCAUGCUCUACCUAACCUAACAGCAAGCAGUACAAACAGCAAGCAUUCGUCAUUCAUGAUCAA